rnacentral:sRNA from 1 species
UCCAACCACGAUUGGGCAUCGACAGGUGG